rnacentral:lncRNA from 1 species
AUGUAUCGCCUCUCAGCUGAGUAUUUCCAGUGUAUCUUUCCGUCAGUUCUGGACUGCAGGGCAGCAGUUUUGGAAAGUUUCCCCCUGGAGAGCCGGGCAGUGCAGCUGGCAGGAACGAGCUUUCCAGGUGUUUUCCGAGAGAGCGGAACCUUUGUGACUUCUCAGAGUGCAAUAUCCCCAACACUCAUCGCAGCAGGGAAAGUGGAGAGAGGAGACAGGCUAGCCCGCAGAGCUUGCAAUGAACCUGUACUUGUUCCAUUGCAGACUAAAACCUUGCCUGGCUUCACAAGAAGUGUCCAUUGAAAUAUUUAUGCCGACUAGGUCUGUGAUUUUCACAGUACAGCUGUAUAAUAAAAACAUAGAAAGAUGGGGGACUGUCCGUGGGGUUAAGAGGUAACCGACCUGGGUCCAAUUGAUCCAGACCUCUGCUUCCCGACUGCAGCAAAAGGAAGGAGAGGACAUCUGUGGGGGCUUCCUGCUGGAUAAUGUGGGAUGCUUCCUGUCCUAUCACAGGAACAGGAAGUUAAUAAUUGAGUGGGGGAAAAAAAACUCAAAAUGAAUUUUUCAUCCACUCCUUUAUUUCCCUCCCGUUUUCUCUCCCUCCCCCCUAAAACAUUCUUGGUUUUGAAAUCCAAAUAAAAAUAGACAGCUUUUUGCAUUUGUUUUUUUUUUUCAUUUCCGAGGGCACACAUUUGAAUUUAGGUCAAGGCUUGGAGAAGCCAGAAAGAAA